rnacentral:rRNA from 1 species
UACGAAGGGUGCAAGCGUUACUCGGAAUUACUGGGCGUAAAGCGUGCGUAGGUGGUUUGUUAAGUCUGAUGUGAAAGCCCUGGGCUCAACCUGGGAAUUGCAUUGGAUACUGGCAGGCUAGAGUGCGGUAGAGGGUAGUGGAAUUCCCGGUGUAGCAGUGAAAUGCGUAGAGGUCGGGAGGAACAUCCGUGGCGAAGGCGACUACCUGGACCAGCACUGACACUGAGGCACGAAAGCGUGGGGAGCAAACAGG